rnacentral:rRNA from 1 species
CCAGUUUUGCUCCAAGGACCAAUCAAACGUGGUCAAGGAACUCGGCAUAAUGAUCCCGUAACUUCGGAAGAAGGGAUGCCACGUCAGGUUGCCAGACUUGCUCUGGUUGCUCGACGGGGCCGCAGAGAAUCGACUCAAGCGACUGUUUAGCAAAAACACAGGUGCGUGCCAAGCCGCAUAAGGCGCCGUAUACGCACUGACUCCUGCCCGGUGCCGGAAGGUUAAGGGGAGAGGUUAGCCGCAAGGCGAAGCUUUGAUCCGAAGCCCCGGUAAACGGCGGCCGUAACAAUAACGGUCCUAAGGUAGCGAAAUUCCUUGUCGGGUAAGUUCCGACCUGCACGAAUGGAGUAACGACUUGAGUACUGUCUCGACCACGUGCUCGGCGAAAUAGCAGUCUCGGUGAGGAUUCCGAGUCCCCGCGACAGGACAAAAAGACCCCAUGCACCUUUACUGCAGCUUGUUAUUGACGAUUGCAUAAGACUGUGUAGCAUAGGUGGGAGCCGUUGAGACGGGGGCGCUAGCUCUCGUGGAGGCAUCAGUGAAAUACCACCCUGUGUUCUGUGAUCGUCUCACCGCGAUAGGCAAACCCUAUCCGGGACCGUGACAGGUGGGCAGUUUGACUGGGGCGGUCGCCUCCGAAAGAGUAACGGAGGCGCGCGAAGGUUGGCUCAGCGCGGUCGGUAAUCGCGCCUAUAGAGUGUAACGGCAGAAGCCAGCCUGACGGUGAGACCGACGGGUCGAGCCGAGACGAAAGUCGGCCGUAGUGAUCCGGUAGACCGGUGUGGAUCGGCUAUCGCGCAACGGAUAAAAGGUACGCUGGGGAUAACAGGCUUAUCGCGCCCGAGAGUUCACAUCGACGGCGCGGUUUGGCACCUCGAUGUCGGCUUGUCACAUCCUGGGGCUGGAGAAGGUCCCAAGGGUUCGGCUGUUCGCCGAUUAAAGUGGCACAUGAGCUGGGUUCAGAACGUCGUGAGACAGUUCGGUCUGUAUCCGUCGUGGGCGUUGGAGGGUUGAGGGGUGCGAACUCUAGUACGAGAGGACCGAGUUGGACGAUCCGCUCGUGUCCCGGCUGUGGCGCCAGCUGCAACGCCGGGUAGCGAUGAUCGGUGGCGAUAACCGCUGAAAGCAUCUAAGUGGGAAGCGUCCCCCAAGAUGAACCCUCCCUGGGAACUUGAUUCCCCUAAAGGGCCGGAGGAGACUACUCCGUCGAUAGGCGACAGGUGGAAGUAGCGCAAGCUAUUACGAGCUCAGUCGUCCUAAUCGCCCGUGCGGCUUGAC